GGGAGUGCAGGGCGGCCCUGCUCCCCAGCGUGGCCCAGGACCAGCCCGCUGGAGCCCACUGGGGCCUGCCAUCUGCUGGGCAGAGGAGGGCUGCUGCCGCUCCCUGGGCCUCAGUCUCCUCUUCUGUAAAAUGGGGAGAACAGAGGCCUCCACCCCACCUCCCGGCUGCUGGAAGGGCCCAACGAGACAGCUCCACCAUGCCUGCAAUGGACCCGGCUUGUCUGUGCUGUGCUUCAUGCGUCACGACAUCCUGGAGUAUUUCAGUGUCUACGGGACAGCCCUGAGCAUGUGGGUCUCGCUGAUGGCACUGGCCGACUUCGACGAACCCAAGAGGUCAACAUUUGUGAUGUUCGGCGUCCUGACCAUUGCUGUGCGGAUCUAUCAUGACCGAUGGGGCUACGGGGUGUACUCGGGCCCCAUCGGCACAGCCAUCCUCAUCAUUGCGGCAAAGUGGCUACAGAAGAUGAAGGAGAAGAAGGGCCUGUACCCAGACAAGAGUGUCUACACCCAGCAGAUAGGCCCCGGCCUCUG
rnacentral:sRNA from 1 species